rnacentral:rRNA from 1 species
UACGGAGGGUGCAAGCGUUACUCGGAAUCACUGGGCGUAAAGGGAGCGUAGACGGCUGAGCAAGUCUGAAGUGAAAGGCGGGGGCCCAACCCCCGGACUGCUCUGGAAACUAUGUUACUGGAGUGCAGGAGAGGUAAGCGGAAUUCCUAGUGUAGCGGUGAAAUGCGUAGAUAUUAGGAGGAACACCAGUGGCGAAGGCGGCUUACUGGACUGUAACUGACGUUGAGGCUCGAAAGCGUGGGGAGCAAACAGG